UCCAGGUGUUGAGAUAAAUAAUUAAAACAUACCCCGGCCGGGAUUGAACCCGCGGUCAUAGAGUCUCAAAACUCCAGCCCGUCGCGUUAGCCACUAGACCAGCUAGCCACAAUAAGAUUCAUCCAACUAGGUAUAUUUCUACACCAUAGGAAAGUUAGCACAGGCACCUCUGCAGUGAAGGGACUUGAGCUAGAGUUCGUCACGGCCACGCUAGCUGGAGAUUCGUCUGUAAAAACUUGCAUUUGUGGUCACAGAGGUGCCUGUGCUAACCUUCCUAUGGUGUAGAAAUAUACCUAGUUGGAUGAAUCUUAUUGUGGCUAGCUGGUCUAGUGGCUAACGCGACGGGCUGGAGUUUUGAGACUCUAUGACCGCGGGUUCAAUCCCGGCCGGGGGUAUGGUUUAUUUGCAAUCGUGUCAUUACGAUUUCUUGAGUCAUAAAUAAUUACUAAGUGACAGAGUAUUGUGGUACUUGACUGUCUUCACUUUUCACAAUUUAUCAUUACCUCUAUGGACAAUUGGAUUUGGAAAAUUGUUUAGAGCUGUCCACUAAUUUGUUUUGGAUCCGCUUAUUCCAUGAUACAAUGGCGGCUCCGAAGUGACAGCCAAAGCUGGAACUAUUACCACCAUUGUCAUGUUUUAUGAUGAAAAUAAUUCAAAAUAUUAAUUAAGAACAUAAGAAUGGAGGAACACUGCAGAAGGCCUACUGACCCAUGCGAGGCAGGUCCUUAUCAAAACAACCUCUACCUAAAGCUACCCAAGAAAUAACUCCCGUACCCAAUGACACCAAUCAAACCCAGCCCCUCCCACUCAUAUAUUUGUCCAAUCUCUUCUUAAAGCUACCCAAGGUCCUAAAGCUACCCAAGGUCGAUAAAUUAGACACAUGUGCAAGAGUUGCACAUGUGUCUAAUUUAUCAACAUGUCGGUUCUCUGAACCAUUCAUCUACUACCCAAGGUCCUAAAGCUACCCAAGGUCUUUGACACAGGUUAUGUCUUGCGUAUAGAUUAUGAAUACAAUGUGAAAAUGUAAUAAGUUUUUUGAUACUCGCCUUCAAGAGCUCAUAGAAAAAUCAUUUCUAGCCCGAAUUCUUGUUUUAUAACAAAAAAAUUGUUCCUGAUAUUGAGAUUAUAACAUUUAGAUAAUUUUUUAUAAUAGUUACAAAUAAAAUAUAUAAACUCUA